rnacentral:rRNA from 1 species
AUGGAGCACUCAUCUUCUCAAAGCUUCACAAGCAUGAUGAACUCCUCCUUCUCACCUUCAGAUGCACAGAGCCCAAACAACCUGCAAAAUCCACAGAGCCCAAUUAGUUUCCAUCCCCAUCAUCCACAUAUGAAUUAUCCACCCACACAUUAUAUUCCCAGUUUCCAGCAUCAACACCCACACCAUGCAAAUUUAUAUGCUCAAGGAGGUUACCAGCAAGUUCCAUCCAUACCUCCAGGCUACCAUGGUGUUGCUUACCAAGGUAACAUGGGGCAGUACCCUCCAGGAGCAUUUGGAGCAGGCUCAAGUAGCAGUCCAGCAUCUCCUGCUGGAUGCAUACCUUUUCUUGGAUCUGCUAGAGGCACUAGUUCAAGAGGAGAUGAGAAUAGUCCAGUUGGAUUUAGUUCUCCCAUGUCACCUGCAUAUCAAGUGGAUGAAGAUCCGGCUGUCAAUAAUCAAGAUGGCAGUGAUAGUAGUCCUGAUGAGAUUCAGAAAAAAGGAAAAGGCAAGAACUGGAGUAAGCGUGAGGAUGAACUUCUCAUAGCAGCUUGGGUGCACAAUUCAUGUGAUCCGAUUGAUGGAAACUCCAAAAGGGCAGAGACCUAUUGGAAGGAAGUCGCAGCAGAGUACAACAAAUAUGCAACAAAAGAGCAGAAGAAAACAGUUGGGCAAUGCAAGAACCACUGGACCAAGACCACAAAGAAGGUUACAAAGUUCAAUGAUAUCUACAAUGUUGAAAAAAGUACGUGGCCUAGUGGGAGCGAUGACAAGCAACUUAUGGAGAGGGUACGUGCCAAAUACAUGAGUGUUGCCAAGACAAAAAGACCCUUUCCAUAUGAGCACUGGUGGGAGUACGUGAGGAAAGAGGCUAAAUGGACAAGGUCUUAUUCAGUUGAAGAGAUGAACAAAAGAAACAAGUUGAAUGCAUCAGGAGCUUAUAGUUCUUCAACCCAGGCAAUAGAUGAGGAAGGUGAACUUCAACGACCCCCCGGACGCAACACUUCAAAAGACAUAAAAGAUAAACAUAAGUCAUCAAGCAAGUCUAAAUGCUCUGGAAGCUUGACAAGUGAGAGCAUGGACAAAUUUAAUGAGAUUCAACUACGAAAAUCAAUUGCUGCAGAGAAAAUGGCCGAUGCCACCCUUUUUCAAGCAGAAGCCACAAAAGUUCAAGCAGAAGCUGAGAAAGAAAGAGUUGAACACUACCUUGCUGCUAAAUUUUAUUAUUUCUUGCUGCUAAAUUUUAUUAUUUCUUGCUGCUAA